AGAGUUUGAUCCUGGCUCAGGACGAACGCUGGCGGCACGCUUAACACAUGCAAGUCGAACGAGAGAAGAGGAGCUUGCUUUUCUGAUCUAGUGGCGGACGGGUGAGUAACACGUGAGCAAUCUGCCUUUCAGAGGGGGAUACCGAUUGGAAACGAUCGUUAAUACCGCAUAACAUAAUUGAACCGCAUGAUUUGAUUAUCAAAGAUUUAUCGCUGAAAGAUGAGCUCGCGUCUGAUUAGCUAGUUGGUAAGGUAACGGCUUACCAAGGCGACGAUCAGUAGCCGGACUGAGAGGUUGAUCGGCCACAUUGGGACUGAGACACGGCCCAGACUCCUACGGGAGGCAGCAGUGGGGAAUAUUGCACAAUGGAGGAAACUCUGAUGCAGCGAUGCCGCGUGAGGGAAGAAGGUUUUAGGAUUGUAAACCUCUGUCUUCAGGGACGAAAAAAGACGGUACCUGAGGAGGAAGCUCCGGCUAACUACGUGCCAGCAGCCGCGGUAAUACGUAGGGAGCGAGCGUUGUCCGGAAUUACUGGGUGUAAAGGGAGCGUAGGCGGGAUCGCAAGUCAGAUGUGAAAACUAUGGGCUUAACCCAUAAACUGCAUUUGAAACUGUGGUUCUUGAGUGAAGUAGAGGUAAGCGGAAUUCCUAGUGUAGCGGUGAAAUGCGUAGAUAUUAGGAGGAACAUCAGUGGCGAAGGCGGCUUACUGGGCUUUAACUGACGCUGAGGCUCGAAAGCGUGGGGAGCAAACAGGAUUAGAUACCCUUGUAGUCCACGCCGUAAACGAUGAUUACUAGGUGUGGGGGGACUGACCCCUUCCGUGCCGCAGCAAACGCAAUAAGUAAUCCACCUGGGGAGUACGACCGCAAGGUUGAAACUCAAAGGAAUUGACGGGGGCCCGCACAAGCAGUGGAGUAUGUGGAUUAAUUCGAAGCAACGCGAAGAACCUUACCAGGUCUUGACAUCGUAUGCAUAGCUCAGAGAUGAGUGAAAUCUCUUCGGAGACAUAUAGACAGGUGGUGCAUGGUUGUCGUCAGCUCGUGUCGUGAGAUGUUGGGUUAAGUCCCGCAACGAGCGCAACCCUUACUGUUAGUUGCUACGCAAGAGCACUCUAGCAGGACUGCCGUUGACAAAACGGAGGAAGGUGGGGAUGACGUCAAAUCAUCAUGCCCCUUAUGACCUGGGCCUCACACGUACUACAAUGGCUGUCAACAGAGGGAAGCAAAGCCGCGAGGUGGAGCGAACCCCUAAAAGCAGUCUUAGUUCGGAUUGUAGGCUGCAACCCGCCUACAUGAAGUCGGAAUUGCUAGUAAUCGCAGAUCAGCAUGCUGCGGUGAAUACGUUCCCGGGCCUUGUACACACCGCCCGUCACGCCAUGGGAGUCGGUAACACCCGAAGCCUGUAGUCUAACCGCAAGGAGGACGCAGUCGAAGGUGGGAUUGAUGACUGGGGUGAAGUCGUAACAAGGUA
rnacentral:rRNA from 1 species